GAUGAACGCUGGCGGCGUGCCUAAUACAUGCAAGUCGAGCGGUAAGGCCACUUCGGUGGUACACGAGCGGCGGACGGCUGAGUAACACGUAGGAACGUACCCCAAAGUGAGGGAUAAGCGCCGGAAACGGCGUCUAAUACCGCAUGUGGUCUUCGGACUAAAGCUCCGGCGCUUUGGGAACGGCCUGCGCAUGAUUAGCUUGUUGGUAAGGUAAUGGCUUACCAAGGCGACGAUCAUUAGCUGGUCUGAGAGGAUGAUCAGCCAGACUGGGACUGAGACACGGCCCAGACUCCUACGGGAUGCAGCAGUAGGGAAUAUUCCACAAUGGGCGAAAGCCUGAUGGAGCAACGCCGCGUGCAGGAUGAAUGCCUUCGGGUUGUAAACUGCUUUUAUCUGUGACGGUUAUGACGGUAGCAGAUGAAUAAGGAUCGGCUAACUCCGUGCCAGCCGCCGCAGUAA
rnacentral:rRNA from 1 species